rnacentral:rRNA from 1 species
CUGGUUGAUCCUGCCAGUAGUGAUAUGCUUGUUUCAAAGAUUAAGCCAUGCAUGUCUAAGUAUAAGCGAACUUAUACAGUGAAACUGCGGAUGGCUCAUUAAAACAGUUUGAAUUUAUUUGAUGAAUGUAUGAGAAUACUACUUGGAUAACCGUAGUAAUUCUAGAGCUAAUACAUGCAACGACGCCCGACCGUUUCACUACGGAAGGGCUGUAUUUAUUGGAUACCAAAACCAUCCUUCCCUCGGGAAGUUUUGUUUGAUGAUUCACAAUAACUGAUCGGAUCGCCACUGUGGUGGCGACAGGUCAUUCAACAUCCUACCCUAUCAGCUUUCGAUGGUUGUGUAGUGGACAACCAUGGCCAUAACGGGUAACGGAGAAUCAGGGUUCGAUUCCGGAGAAGGAGCUUGAGAAUUGGCUACUACAUCUAAGGAAGGCAGCAGGCGCGCAAAUUACCCAAUCCCGAUUCGGGGAGGUAGUGACAAAAAAUAACAAUACCGGGCCUUUUUGGGCUUGGUAAUUGGAAUGAGGGAGAGUUAAACGGACCAUCGAGUAUCCAUUGGAGGGCAAGUCUGGUGCCAGCAGCUGCGGUAAUACCAGCUCCAAUAGCGUAUAUUAAAGUUGUUGCAGUUAAAAAGCUCGUAGUUGGACUUGUGUGCGCUGUCCGCGGGUGGCCUGCGCCCAAAAGGGCGUUUCGGUUCGGCCCCGGUGGCGCCUUGAAAUCUGCAGCUGGGGGGACGUUGGCCUUAACUGGUCGGCGACCGCACGCCGGCUGCUCGGUUACUGUGAGAAAAUUAGAGUGUUCAAGGCAGGCAUUGGGUGCAAUUGAAUACAUUAGCAUGGAAUAAUAAAAUAUGGCUCCUGCCGUACUUUGUUGGUUUUGACUGGUGGGAGUAAUGAUUGAUAGGGACGGUUGGGGGUGCUAGUAUUGAGCGGCCAGAGGUGAAAUUCAUGGAUUCGCUCAAGACUAACUUAUGCGAAAGCAUUCACCAAGGACGUCCUCUUUAAUCAAGAACGAAAGUUGGGGGAUCGAAGACGAUCAGAUACCGUCGUAGUCUCAACCAUAAACUAUGUCGACUUGGGAUCGGCGGUAGUUUUUUCAUUAAGACACUGUCGGGACCACGGGAGAAAUCAAAGUGUCUGGACUCUGGGGGAAGUAUGGUCGCAAGGCUGAAACUUGAAGGAAUUGACGGAAGGGCACCACCAGGAGUGGAGCCUGCGG